CCUACGGGAGGCAGCAGUGGGGAAUAUUGCGCAAUGGGCGAAAGUCUGACGCAGCGACGCCGCGUGAGGGAUGAAGGUCUUCGGAUCGUAAACCUCUGUCAGCAUGGAAGAACGGUCACUGUGCUAAUCAGCAGUGAAUUUACGGUAUCUGCAAAGGAAGCACCGGCUAACUCCGGGCCAGCAGCCGCGGUAAGACGGAGGGUGCGAGCGUUAAUCGGAAUUACUGGGCGUAAAGCGAUCGUAGGCGGUAUGUCAAGUCAAGGGUGAAAUCCCCGCGCUCAACGUGGGAACUGCAGUUGAAACUGGCAGACUGGAGUGUGUGAGAGGAUGGUGGAAUUCCUGGUGUAGGGGUGAAAUGCGUAGAUAUCUGGAGGAACAUCGGUGGCGAAGGCAACUAUCUGGCACAUAACUGACGCUGAGGAGCGAAAGCGUGGGUAGCAAACAGGAUUAGAUACCCUUGUAGUC
rnacentral:rRNA from 1 species